GAACUGCUAAUUCUUAUUCCUGAAGUUAAACUCCUCAGACCCCUCACUUUUAAAGGAUAAAAGGCAAUC
rnacentral:tRNA from 1 species